UUGAAAGGGAAACGAUUGAAGUCAGUCGUGCUGGCGCGAAAUCAACCUUCUCGUCUUGAGAUCACAUGGCGUGGCGAGCCUCAAAACCGUCACGAAGCGUGAACUCUUGGUGAAAUGGAGCACUUUCGUGUCCGCUGGUUGACAUCAAUUUCGAACGUCAUAAAAAGGCUGGAGGGAUGUGGCUCCUUCGGGAGUGUUAUAACCUUUAGCGGAAUGUGGUGUUCGGGAUUGAGGAUUGCAACGAAUACCUUUAGGGCUGUUCCACCUGGCUUCUCUUUGGUAUCCUGGUGACGACAGCUUGCUGACGUCGUUAGGAUUCGCCUUUGAACAGGCUAGAGUGUGAGCAAAUUCGUUAAGGAUGUUGACGUA
rnacentral:rRNA from 1 species